UACGGGGGGGGUAAGCGUUGUUCGGAAUUACUGGGCGUAAAGGGCUCGUAGGCGGCCAACUAAGUCAGACGUGAAAUCCCUCAGCUUAACUGGGGAACUGCGUCUGAUACUGGAUGGCUUGGAUUCGGGAGAGGAAUGCGGAAUUCCAGGUGUAGCGGUGAAAUGCGUAGAUAUCUGGAGGAACACCGGUGGCGAAGGCGACAUCCUGGACCGGUAUUGACGCUGAGGCACGAAGGCCAGGGGAGCAAACGGG
rnacentral:rRNA from 1 species